rnacentral:pre_miRNA from 1 species
CCAAAAUUCUUGUCUUAGAUUUGUCUAGAUACGGAUGUAUCAAGUCACAUUUUAGUAUUAGAUACAUCCGUAUCUAGACAAAUCUAAGACAAGAAAUUUGGGACAGAGGGAGUAGUUG